CCUCUGUUUCUCUUCCUUUCUCAGACGUGAGGGAACUAAGCAGAGAAAGACACCACUGGAGACUCCUGGAGAAACCUUGGGCCACUGUCCAUAAGAGUCAUGAACGGAACAUUGAGUUUCUAUCUCACUGGAGCCUCAGUGCUCAUGGGCACUUUGACGGACAUGUCAUUUUAAAGUGUUGUUUUCUGAUUCAGAAGAAAUGGUGACCUCGUGGGAUUUACCAAUGACAAGGUUGGCUGCUAGACUCCAUUUAACCAUAAGGAGAAACUGAGUUCAAGGGCCGAGGCUCUAGGGAACUGAGGGCCUCCCGGUAGCUGAGCAGCUUCUGUUGUGAACAGGUAUCUGCGUCCAGUC